GAGCACAUCGAAAACGUUAAACACAGAGAAGGGAGUCAAUUGCGGACAACCAUGUGGAAGUGUGCACAACAAAGAAACAGCACCUCCUUCUAUAACAGGCUCUGGAUUACAUUCGCAGGAGACAAAACACAGGUGUCAAAAUGAGUCUCUCUGCGGAGAUUGAAGAGGGAAGCAGUCCUAGUAACUGUGAAGACACUGAAGAGGAAGCCAGUUCUUCUGGAAUGAGUUUAUCAGGGAAUGAGGAAGCGAUGUCCCCUAAAAUACGUUUUCCUGUUGAACAGGACACUUGCAGUGAACUUAAAAGGUUCAAGACAGACAGACCAGUCUCACCUGUACCUAGUGGUAUCCCCAUGAAGAGUGACCAGUCUAUGGAACAUCCU